UCAAGCGAAUAAGCGCACACGGUGGAUGCCUUGGCGGUCAGAGGCGAUGAAGGACGUGGCAGCCUGCGAAAAGUAUCGGGGAGCUGGCAACAAGCUUUGAUCCGGUAAUGUCCGAAUGGGGAAACCCACCCGCUUGCGGGUAUCCUGCAGUGAAUACAUAGCUGCUGGAAGCGAACCUGGUGAACUGAAAUAUCUAAGUAACCAGAGGAAAAGAAAUCAACCGAGAUUCCGUAAGUAGCGACGAGCGAACGCGGACUAGCCCUUAAGCUGAUUUGGUUCUAGGAAAACGCUCUGGAAAGAGCGGCCAUAGAAGGUGAUAGCCCUGUAUCUGAAAGGGCCAUUUCAGUGAAGACGAGUAGGGCGGGGCACGUGAAACCCUGUCUGAACAUGGGGGGACCAUCCUCCAAGGCUAAAUACUACUGACCGACCGAUAGUGAACCAGUACCGUGAGGGAAAGGCGAAAAGAACCCCGGAGAGGGGAGUGAAAUAGAUCCUGAAACCGUGUGCGUACAAGCAGUAGGAGCUCCGCAAGGAGUGACUGCGUACCUUUUGUAUAAUGGGUCAGCGACUUACUGUUCGUGGCAAGCUUAACCGUAUAGGGGAGGCGAAGGGAAACCGAGUCUGAUAAGGGCGCAUAGUCGCGGGCAGUAGACCCGAAACCGGGUGAUCUAGUCAUGGCCAGGGUGAAGGUGCCGUAACAGGUACUGGAGGCCCGAACCCACGUCUGUUGCAAAAGACGGGGAUGAGCUGUGAUUAGGAGUGAAAAGCUAAUCGAACCCGGAGAUAGCUGGUUCUCCUCGAAAGCUAUUUAGGUAGCGCCUCAUAUGUAUCCUCUCGGGGGUAGAGCACUGUUAUGGCUAGGGGGUCAUCGCGACUUACCAAACCAUUGCAAACUCCGAAUACCGAGACGGACUGUAUGGGAGACACACGGCGGGUGCUAACGUCCGUCGUGAAAAGGGAAACAACCCAGACCCACAGCUAAGGUCCCAAAUUUUGUGCUAAGUGGAAAACCAUGUGGAAAGGCACAGACAGCCAGGAGGUUGGCUUAGAAGCAGCCACCCUUUAAAGAAAGCGUAAUAGCUCACUGGUCGAGUCGGUCUGCGGGGAAGAUUUAACGGGGCUAAGCACAAAACCGAAGCUUGGGGUGCAUAACUUUGUUAUGCGCGGUAGAGGAGCGUUCCGUAAGCCGUUGAAGGUGGAUUGAGAAGUCUGCUGGAGGUAUCGGAAGUGCGAAUGCUGACAUGAGUAACGAUAAUGCGGGUGAAAAACCCGCACGCCGAAAGCCCAAGGUUUCCUUGCGCAACGUUAAUCGGCGCAGGGUGAGUCGGCCCCUAAGGCGAGGACGAAAGUCGUAGUCGAUGGAAAGCAGGUUAAUAUUCCUGCACCUCGCGUAAGUGCGAUGGAGGGACGGAGAAGGUUAGGUGUACCAGGCGUUGGUUGUCCUGGGGAAAGGCGGUAGGUUUGGAUCUUUGGCAAAUCCGGGAUCCUUUAAGACCGAGCACCGAGACGAGCCUUUAUGGCGAAGUCACUGAUACCACGCUUCCAGGAAAAGCUCCUAAGCUUCAGCUUACGCAGACCGUACCGUAAACCGACACAGGUGGGUAGGAUGAGAAUUCUCAGGCGCUUGAGAGAACUCGGGUGAAGGAACUAGGCAACAUGGCACCGUAACUUCGGGAGAAGGUGCACCCUUUUUGGUGGCUCGUGCGAGCUAUAGCUGAAGAGGGUCGCAGUAACCAGGCCGCUGCGACUGUUUAUCAAAAACACAGCACUCUGCAAACACGAAAGUGGACGUAUAGGGUGUGACGCCUGCCCGGUGCUGGAAGGUUAAUUGAUGGGGUCAGCCGCAAGGCGAAGCUCUUGAUCGAAGCCCCAGUAAACGGCGGCCGUAACUAUAACGGUCCUAAGGUAGCGAAAUUCCUUGUCGGGUAAGUUCCGACCUGCACGAAUGGCGUAACGACAGCGGCGCUGUCUCCACCCGAGACUCAGUGAAAUUGAAAUCGCUGUGAAGAUGCAGCGUUCCCGUGGCAAGACGGAAAGACCCCGUGAACCUUUACUAUAGCUUUACACUGAACGUUGAGUUCGUCUGUGUAGGAUAGGUGGGAGGCUAUGAAACUGUGGCGCUAGCUGCAGUGGAGCCAUCCUUGAAAUACCACCCUGUCGUGCUUGACGUUCUAACCUGGGCCCAUUAUCUGGGUCGGGGACCGUGUAUGGUGGGUAGUUUGACUGGGGCGGUCUCCUCCUAAAGAGUAACGGAGGAGCUCGAAGGUACGCUCAGCGCGGUCGGACAUCGCGCACUGUGUGCAAAGGCAUAAGCGUGCUUGACUGCAAGAUCGACGGAUCAAGCAGGUAGGAAACUAGGACUUAGUGAUCCGGUGGUUCUGUAUGGAAGGGCCAUCGCUCAACGGAUAAAAGGUACUCCGGGGAUAACAGGCUGAUACCGCCCAAGAGUUCAUAUCGACGGCGGUGUUUGGCACCUCGAUGUCGGCUCAUCACAUCCUGGGGCUGUAGUCGGUCCCAAGGGUAUGGCUGUUCGCCAUUUAAAGUGGUACGCGAGCUGGGUUCAGAACGUCGUGAGACAGUUCGGUCCCUAUCUGCCAUGGGCGUUGGAGAUUUGAGAGGGGCUGCUCCUAGUACGAGAGGACCGGAGUGGACGAACCUCUGGUGUUCCGGUUGUCACGCCAGUGGCAUUGCCGGGUAGCUAUGUUCGGAAGCGAUAACCGCUGAAAGCAUCUAAGCGGGAAGCGCGCCUCAAGAUGAGAUCUCCCGGGGCACAAGCCCCCUGAAGGAACCAUAUAGACUAUGUGGUUGAUAGGUCAGGUGUGUAAGUACAGCAAUGUAUUGAGCUAACUGAUACUAAUGAUCCGUGUGGCUUGACCA
rnacentral:rRNA from 1 species